rnacentral:rRNA from 1 species
UACAGGGGGGGCAAGCGUUGUUCGGAAUUACUGGGCGUAAAGGGCGCGUAGGCGGCUUGGUCAGUCCCGUGUGAAAUCCCUCGGCUCAACUGAGGAACUGCACGGGAAACUGCCUGGCUUGAGUUCGGGAGAGGGAAGCGGAAUUCCGGGUGUAGCGGUGAAAUGCGUAGAUAUCCGGAGGAACACCGGUGGCGAAGGCGGCUUCCUGGACCGACACUGACGCUGAGGCGCGAAAGCUAGGGGAGCAAACGGG